AUGAACGCUAGCUACAGGCUUAACACAUGCAAGUCGAGGGGCAGCAUGGUCUUAGCUUGCUAAGGCCGAUGGCGACCGGCGCACGGGUGAGUAACACGUAUCCAACCUGCCGUCUACUCUUGGACAGCCUUCUGAAAGGAAGAUUAAUACAAGAUGGCAUCAUGAGUCCACAUGUUCACAUGAUUAAAGGUAUUCCGGUAGACGAUGGGGAUGCGUUCCAUUAGAUAGUAGGCGGGGUAACGGCCCACCUAGUCUUCGAUGGAUAGGGGUUCUGAGAGGAAGGUCCCCCACAUUGGAACUGAGACACGGUCCAAACUCCUACGGGAGGCAGCAGUGAGGAAUAUUGGUCAAUGGGCGAGAGCCUGAACCAGCCAAGUAGCGUGAAGGAUGACUGCCCUAUGGGUUGUAAACUUCUUUUAUAAAGGAAUAAAGUCGGGUAUGCAUACCCGUUUGCAUGUACUUUAUGAAUAAGGAUCGGCUAACUCCGUGCCAGCAGCCGCGGUAAUACGGAGGAUCCGAGCGUUAUCCGGAUUUAUUGGGUUUAAAGGGAGCGUAGAUGGAUGUUUAAGUCAGUUGUGAAAGUUUGCGGCUCAACCGUAAAAUUGCAGUUGAUACUGGAUAUCUUGAGUGCAGUUGAGGCAGGCGGAAUUCGUGGUGUAGCGGUGAAAUGCUUAGAUAUCACGAAGAACUCCGAUUGCGAAGGCAGCCUGCUAAGCUGCAACUGACAUUGAGGCUCGAAAGUGUGGGUAUCAAACAGGAUUAGAUACCCUGGUAGUCCACACGGUAAACGAUGAAUACUCGCUGUUUGCGAUAUACUGCAAGCGGCCAAGCGAAAGCGUUAAGUAUUCCACCUGGGGAGUACGCCGGCAACGGUGAAACUCAAAGGAAUUGACGGGGGCCCGCACAAGCGGAGGAACAUGUGGUUUAAUUCGAUGAUACGCGAGGAACCUUACCCGGGCUUAAAUUGCAGAUGAAUUACGGUGAAAGCCGUAAGCCGCAAGGCAUCUGUGAAGGUGCUGCAUGGUUGUCGUCAGCUCGUGCCGUGAGGUGUCGGCUUAAGUGCCAUAACGAGCGCAACCCUUGUUGUCAGUUACUAACAGGUUCCGCUGAGGACUCUGACAAGACUGCCAUCGUAAGAUGUGAGGAAGGUGGGGAUGACGUCAAAUCAGCACGGCCCUUACGUCCGGGGCUACACACGUGUUACAAUGGGGGGUACAGAGGGCCGCUACCACGCGAGUGGAUGCCAAUCCCAAAAACCUCUCUCAGUUCGGACUGGAGUCUGCAACCCGACUCCACGAAGCUGGAUUCGCUAGUAAUCGCGCAUCAGCCACGGCGCGGUGAAUACGUUCCCGGGCCUUGUACACACCGCCCGUCAAGCCAUGGGAGCCGGGGGUACCUGAAGUGCGUAACCGCGAGGAGCGCCCUAGGGUAAAACUGGUGACUGGGGCU
rnacentral:rRNA from 1 species